GCCUCUAUGGCGCAGUGGUAACGCAUCUGACUUGUAUCUCGCCCAUUUGAUGUGAAGACAAUCAGAAGAUCGCUAGUUCAAUUCUGGCUGGAGGCA